rnacentral:hammerhead_ribozyme from 1 species
GUACUGAUGAAGAGUCUGAAAAUUGGGCGAAACAGCUGUCCAGUAC